GAAAAUUAUAGCUCUUUAGUAUUUCUCUAGUAGGUUUCCUCAGGAGAAAGCCUCU
ensembl:snRNA U7 U7 small nuclear RNA